GAGGAAGAAGAAAACAAACCAGGAGAAAUAUAAAAUCUACGGGUGGAGCCAGUGCUGGAGACACGAAGAAUGAAACGAGCCACAGGUGGUUGCUCCUUAGAAAGCUUUGAAGGCUCUGGGAAAAUAUGGAUAUACAGGAACAACAUCAUCAUGAGAUGGAUGAUAGAAGAAGUAUGUACCAGUUCCAAAUUCCGAGCUUGAAAGGUUCGGAUUUCUUGUAGGAACAGGGUCCGAAAUUCUCGAUUCUCCAUUGAGCUAAACGGGAAAUGGUUUCGACCUUGGAAUCCGCCAUGGAUGGUUGUAGAGUGAGUGGGAAGUGUGAACUACCGAGAGUGGACUCUGUGUAAUAGUGUCUUCGGUUGGACUAAAGUAAAGUUUGUGAUGACUUUGAUGGGCA